GUGAAGUACCAAUGCAAAGGGCACAUGGACAUUCACAGAAAUCGGAAUCCAGAGGUUCAUACUACAGCAGUCCCAGAAGCUAAUGCAUGGUCCUCCUUUCAUUUUGGCAGAAUCUGAACUGCAGUGGCUUUCUAGUCUGAGGAUGAUUUUUGCCUUAAGAGUAGUCAGAAGAGGAGUCUUCAACUUCUAGAGCACUGGGAUCAAAGGCAAGCAUCACUGAGCUCUCUCAGACGCUGUACCACCAACCAGGCACAGAGAGCUGGUCUGAGGCCCCCGACACAUACACAGCAAAGGACUGCCUGGUCUGGCCUCAGUGGGAGAAGAUGUGGGCCUAAACCUUGAGAGACUUGAGGCCCCGGGGGUGGGUGGCCCGGCCAGGGGGCAGGGGACAACCUCUUAGAGACAGGAGGAGGAGGAGGAAUAGGAUGAGGGACUGUAGGAGGGCAAACCAAAAGAGGGUUAACAACUGGACUGCAAAAAAAAUAAAAGUAAUUCUUAAAAAAAAAAAAAAAAAAAGAGGAUUCUUCAUAAGAUUCAAAAGAGAAACCCGGAGCUGCUUCUUCAUUCCAUCCUGAAGUUCAGUGUAGAGAACCAGACGCCAUUUCAGCUCUGAGUUUUGCAGCAGAUCAACUUGCUGGCCAAGAUCCUUUGGCUCCUGCAAGAUAUUCCUCUAUCCUACGUUUUGGGGAAUUGCUUUACUUUUAUAAAAAAAAAAAGCAGCAGCAGUAUUACACUAGCAACAGUCUCAUUUGGCAAACUCUGCAUCUAUAAUUACAUCAAGCUGCAUCCUGUGACACACAUAUAUGAUAUAAACCUACGGAAGUAUGCUACAUGAGCAUGCUUCCUUACGGAACUAAGACCUGAA
rnacentral:lncRNA from 1 species